AUAUUCUACCUGACAGGGGACAUACCAUAAUCAAGAAGGUAAUUUUCCCAGGAUGAGGCUUAUCCACUGCACACUGGAUAUGCUGACUAUUCUCACUUUCUGAAAAAGAGGGAGGGAGAAAAGAACAUUUUGUCGUCC
rnacentral:snRNA from 14 species